ensembl:lncRNA SMC5-DT SMC5 divergent transcript
GAAGACAUGAAGGCAUCAGGGACACUGUGCGAGUGGGCACUGCUGCUUUCCACUGCUCUCCCUAGACUGCAGCCAGGAGGCUGCCUCUGCCCUGCCAGGCGCACACACCAAGAAAGGCCAUGUGGGCACACAGCAAGAUGGUGCCUGUCUGCAAACUAGGAAAAGAGCCCUCACCAGGAACUGAAACAGCUGGCACCUUGAUGUUGGACUUUCCAGCCUCCACAACUGUGAGAGUUUUGGAGGCUGGUAAGUCCAAGAUCAAGGUGCCAACAAGUUUGCUUGUCUAACAAGGGCUGCAUCUUCCUGAGGGGAGGAACGCUAUGUCUUCACAUGGUGGAUGGCAUAAAGGCAAGAGAGUCGAAUGCUGCGUGAAACCUCUUUUACAAAGACCUCAAUCCCAUUCACAAGGGAGGAGCCCUCAUUGCCUAAUCAUCACCUGUUAAGGGUCUUGUCUCUUAAUUCUGUUACACUGGCCAUUAAGUUUCAACACCUGAAAUUUGGAGGAGACACAUUCAAAUCAUAGCAGCAGGUCACUGAUUGUUAUCUUUAUUUUACAUAUAAGGAAACUGAGGCUCAGCGAAGUCAUGUAAUUAUUCCCCAGGUUAUGCAGGCAGCAAAUGGCAGAGGCAGCUCAUUGUUUGGUCUUUCCAUACCAUGCUGUACUGUAGAAUUUGGAAAGGUUUAUUGCAUCACCAGUUAGUAAGUCAGGAACUAUAGCUCCCUUGGAAUUGC